AGAGUUUGAUCCUGGCUCAGAACGAACGCUGGCGGCGUGGCUAAGACAUGCAAGUCGUACGAACCGCUUGAUUGAGUAAUCGAGAGAGUGGUUAGUGGCGGAAGGAUGAGUAAUGCAUAGGUAACGUACCCCUGGUACCGGGAUAGCUGCGGUCUUCGGACCUUUAGCGAAAGUGCAGAUAAUACCGGAUGAUAUCUUUUUGUCGAAUGUCAGAGAGAUCAAGGGUUUCGGCCGACCUAGGAGCGGCCUAUGUCGUAUCAGCUAGUUGGUAGGGUAACGGCCUACCAAGGCAUCGACGCGUAGCGGGACUGAGAGGUUGACCCGCCAUAUCGGGACUGAGACACUGCCCGGACCUCCACGGAGGGCUGCAGUAACGAAUCUUGCGCAAUGGGCGAAAGCCUGACGCAGCGACGCCGCGUGUAGGAUGAAGUCCCUCGGGAUGUAAACUACUGUCAGGGUGAAGAAAGUUCGCUUCGGCGGAUUGAUCGAACCCAGAGGAAGGCCCGGCUAACUUCGUGCCAGCAGCCGCGGUAAGACGAAGGGGCCAAGCGUUGUUCGGAAUUAUUGGGCUUAAAGAGCACGUAGGCGGAAAAUUAAGUGUCUUGUGAAAGCCCUCGGCUCAACCGGGGAAUUGCAGGGCAUACUGGUUUUCUUGAGGCAAGUAGGGGUGCGUGGAACUCUAGGUGGAGCGGUGGAAUGCGUAGAUAUCUAGAGGAACGCCCGCGGAGAAAAUCGGCGCACUGGGCUUGCACUGACGCUGAGGUGCGAAAGCGUGGGGAGCGAACGGGAUUAGAUACCCCGGUAGUCCACGCCGUAAACUAUGUCUACUAGGUCGCGGAGACUCUGACGUUGCCGCGGCCGAAGCAAAAGUGUUAAGUAGACCGCCUGGGGAGUACGGUCGCAAGGCUAAAACUCAAAGGAAUUGACGGGGGCUCACACAAGCGGUGGAGCAUGUGGCUUAAUUCGAAGCAACGCGAAGAACCUUAUCCUGGGUUUGACAUGCGCGGAUGCCUGCUCCGAAAGGAGAUUUGGCUGCUCUUGUGGUGAAACGUGCACAGGUGCUGCAUGGCUGUCGUCAGCUCGUGUCGUGAGAUGUUGGGUUAAGUCCCGUAACGAGCGAAACCCUUGUCGUUAGUUGCCAGCGCGUUAUGGCGGGGACUCUAAGGAGACUGCCGGUGUUAAACCGGAGGAAGGUGGGGAUGACGUCAAGUCCUCAUGGCCUUUAUGCCCAGGGCUGCACACGUGCUACAAUGGCGGGGACAAACCGACGCAAAACC
rnacentral:rRNA from 1 species